AUGGUGUGACGUCCGUCACACCAUGUGUGACGCUCGUCACACAAGUGUAUACAGCGUGACGCUCGUCACAGCCUCUGUGACGCUCGUCACAGGCACAACGCCUGUGCCUUCUUUGGGCUGGGCUUGGCUUUUGCUAUUUCUUUCCAAAAACUUCUUUUUGCACCUCCUUUUCUUCCUUUUUUUACUUUUGCUUCAAAUAGACUACCUGAGAUAAAU
rnacentral:lncRNA from 1 species